rnacentral:tRNA from 1 species
GGGGUUGUAGCUCAAUGGUAGAGCGCUUGCCUCGCCUGCAUGAGGCCCUGGGUUCAAUUCUCAGCACCA